AUUGAACGCUGGCGGCAGGCCUAACACAUGCAAGUCGAACGAGUGGCGGACGGGUGAGUAAUGUCUGGGAAACUGCCCGAUGGAGGGGUAUAACUACUGGAAACGGUAGCUAAUACCGCAUACCAUCGGAUGUGCCCAGCUGGGAUUAGCUAGUAGGUGGGGUAAUGGCGCACCUAGGCGACGAUCCCUAGCUGGUCUGAGAGGAUGACCAGCCACACUGGAACGGAGACACGGGCAAGACUCCGACGGGAGGCAGCAGUGGGGAAUAUUGCACAAGGGGGGCAAGCCUGAUGCAGCCAUGCCGCGGGUGUGAAGAAGGCCUUCGGGUUGUAAAGCACUUUCAGCGAGGAGGCGUUACUCGCAGAAGAAGCACCGGCUAACUCCGUGCCAGCAGCCGCGGUAAUAC
rnacentral:rRNA from 1 species